rnacentral:rRNA from 1 species
CGGUGGAGCAUGUGGUUAAUUCGAAGCAACGCGAAGAACCUUACCAGGCCUUGACAUGCAGAGAACUUUCCAGAGAUGGAUUGGUGCCUUCGGGAACUCUGACACAGGUGCUGCAUGGCUGUCGUCAGCUCGUGUCGUGAGAUGUUGGGUUAAGUCCCGUAACGAGCGCAACCCUUGUCCUUAGUUACCAGCACGUUAUGGUGGGCACUCUAAGGAGACUGCCGGUGACAAACCGGAGGAAGGUGGGGAUGACGCCAAGUCAUCAUGGCCCUUACGGCCUGGGCUACACACGUGCUACAAUGGUCGGUACAAAGGGUUGCCAAGCCGCGAGGUGGAGCUAAUCCCAUAAAACCGAUCGUAGUCCGGAUCGCAGUCUGCAACUCGACUGCGUGAAGUCGGAAUCGCUAGUAAUCGUGAAUCAGAAUGUCACGGUGAAUACGUUCCCGGGCCUU